rnacentral:rRNA from 1 species
GAUGAACGCUGACAGCAUGCUUAACACAUGCAAGUCAACUGUGGCGGACGGGUAAGUAACGCGUAAAGAACUUGCCUCACAGCUAGGGACAACAUUUGGAAACGAAUGCUAAUACCUGAUACUGUGAGAGAGCUUUGCGUCACAUUAGCUAGUUGGAGAGGUAACGGCUCACCAAGGCGAGGAUGGGUAGCCGGCCUGAGAGGGUGAUCGGCCACAAGGGGACUGAGACACGGCCCUUACUCCUACGGGAGGCAGCAGUGGGGAAUAGUGGACGAUGGACCAAAGUCUGAUCCAGCAAUUCUGUGUGCACGAUGAAGUUGUCGGAAUGUAAAGUGCUUUCAGUUGGGAAGCGGUACCAGCAGAAGAAGUGACGGCUAAAUACGUGCCAGCCGCCGCGGUAAUAC